rnacentral:rRNA from 1 species
UCGGGUUGUAAAGCACUUUUGUCCGGAAAGAAAACUUCUGCCCUAAUACGGUGGGAGGAUGACGGUACCGGAAGAAUAAGCACCGGCUAACUACGUGCCAGCAGCCGCGGUAAUACGUAGGGUGCGAGCGUUAAUCGGAAUUACUGGGCGUAAAGCGUGCGCAGGCGGUUCGUUAAGACAGAUGUGAAAUCCCCGGGCUUAACCUGGGAACUGCAUUUGUGACUGGCGAGCUAGAGUAUGGCAGAGGGGGGGUAGAAUUCCACGUGUAGCAGUGAAAUGCGUAGAGAUGUGGAGGAAUACCGAUGGCGAAGGCAGCCCCCUGGGCCAAUACUGACGCUCAUGCACGAAAGCGUGGGGAGCAAACAGGAUUAGAUACCCUGGUAGUCCACGCCCUAAACGAUGUCAACUAGUUGUUGGGUCUUCAUUGACUUAGUAACGUAGCUAACGCGUGAAGUUGGCCGCCUGGGGAGUACGGUCGCAAGAUUAAAACUCAAAGGAAUUGACGGGGACCCGCACAAGCGGUGGAUGAUGAGGAUUAAUUCGAUGCAACGCGAAAAACCUUACCUACCCUUGACAUGGUCGGAACCCUGCUG